ACACCCAUAUCAUGUUGAAGGACUGAUUUUCAUAUGAUCACUGAAGUUAAGCAAUAUUGAGCCUGGUCAGUAACUAGAUGAGUGACCUCUUGGAAAUAGCAGGUGCUGUAAG